rnacentral:rRNA from 1 species
UACAGAGGGUGCAAGCGUUAAUCGGAAUUACUGGGCGUAAAGCGUGCGUAGGUGGUUUUUUAAGUCAGGUGUGAAAUCCCUGGGCUCAACCUGGGAACUGCAUUUGAUACUGGAAAGCUAGAGUGUGGUAGAGGAUGGUGGAAUUCCCGGUGUAGCGGUGAAAUGCGUAGAUAUCGGGAGGAACAUCAGUGGCGAAGGCGGCAUCCUGGACCGACACUGACACUGAGGAGCGAAAGCCAGGGGAGCAAACGGG